rnacentral:lncRNA from 1 species
UUUUUUUGAGUUUCAACACUGCUUUAGGCGUGAAUGUUUAGCUCAGUAUCUGGGACCCCUCGUUCCUUUUCUUUGUCUCUUCUCGGUGGGAAGGAGACGACAUGCUCCUGUUGCUUCACGAGGACCCCGUCCGUCAUGGACGAACAAAGCAUCCUUUAUCCUGUACCUGGCAGCCCCUCGUGUGCCUUCUGAUAUUACCCGACGCACUUUCGAUUCUGCAGAAUUAAACCUUUUUUUUUUUACAUGCUCAGUGUGACCUGACAUUUCCCUGCACAAAUUCUGUGAGCUCCCUAGAAAAGGCAUUGUCGCUGAGCGGUCACCCACUAAUAGCCGCCACCGCGUUCCCGUCGGUUUCUAUCAUCGGGUGUUUAAAUAUUUCAAAAGUUUAAAUAUUUGAAUCGUUUAAACAAUAUUUUAAACAUUUCAGGUGUCUGAAUAUUUAAGUAAAAUAAUAUUUUAAACAUUUCAAAUAUUCGAAUAUUCAAGUUAAUAUUUUAAACAUUUCAAAUAUCUGAAUAUUUAACUUAAUAUUUUAAACACAAGUAUCUGAAUAUGUGAAUUAUUUAAAUAAUAUUAAAAUAUUUCAGGUAUCUGAAUAUAUGAUAAUUUAAAGAAUAUUUUAAAUACUUCAAGUAUCUGAAUAUGUGAAUUACUUAAAGAAUAUUUUAAGCAUUUCAAGUAUCUGAAUACAUUAAUUACUCAAACAAUAUUUUAAACAUUUAAGAUAUCUGAAUAUUUGUAUAAAAUAAUAUCUUAGACAUUUCAAGUAUUUGAAUAUUCAAGUUAAAUAAUAUUUUAAACAUUUCAAAUAUUUGAAUAUUCAAGUUAAACAAUAUUUUAAACAUUUCAAGUAUCUGAAUAUUUAACUUCAUAUUUUAAACACUUCAAGUAUCUGAAUAUGUAAAUUACUUAGAGUAUUUUGAAUAUUUCAAGUAUCUGAAUAAAUUAAUUACUGAAACACUAAAUAUUUCGGAUAUAUGAAUAUUUACAUAAAAUAAUAUCUUAAACAUUUCAAAUAUUUGCAUAUUUAAGUUAAAUAAUAUUUUAAACAUUUCAAAUAUUUGAAUAUUCAAGUUAAACAAUAUUUUAAACAUUUCAAGUAUCUGAAUAAUUAAAUUACUUAAAGAAUUUUGAAAUAUUUCAAGUAUCUGGAUAUGUAAGUUAUUUAAACAAUAUUCAAAUAUUUCAAUCAUCUGACUAUGUGAAUCAUUCAAACAAUAUUUUAAACACUUCAGGUAUCUGAAUAUGCAAAUCAUUUAAACAAUAUUUUAAAUAUUUCAAAUAUUUGAAAAUGUAAAUGAUUCAAGUAAUCAUUGAAUCUUUCAAAUAUUUGAAUAUUUAAAUUGUUCAAAUAUUUGAAAAUUUAAAUUCCUUAAAUAAUCAUUGAAUCUUUCAAAUAUUUGAAUAUUUAAAUCCCUCAAAUGGUUGGAUAUUUAGAUUAAAUUUCGAAUAUUUGAACAUAUAAAGUAUUCAAUAAUUUGCAUACAUAAAUUAUCUAAAUACUAUUUUUAAACAUUUCAAAUCUUUAAGUAUUUGAUCCCUGUCUUACUUCCUGUGCUGUGGUCCGCGAGCUGAGGUUGCCGAGAGCUGUCAUUUUAUUGCUU